GACAGAGGAUGCAAGCGUUAUCCGGAAUGAUUGGGCGUAAAGCGUCUGUAGGUGGCUUUUUAAGUCCGCCGUCAAAUCCCAGGGCUCAACCCUGGACAGGCGGUGGAAACUACCAAGCUGGAGUACGGUAGGGGCAGAGGGAAUUUCCGGUGGAGCGGUGAAAUGCGUAGAGAUCGGGAGGAACACCAGAGGCGAAAGCGGCGACCUGGACAGGCACUGACACUCAACUACGAAAGCGUGGGGGAGCAAACAGG
rnacentral:rRNA from 1 species